rnacentral:rRNA from 1 species
UACGAACCGUCCAAACGUUGUUCGGAAUUACUGGGCUUAAAGGGUUCGUAGGCGGCCUUGUAAGUGGGGUGUGAAAUCCCUCGGCUCAACCGAGGAAUAGCGCUCCAAACUGCAAGGCUUGAGGGAGACAGGGGUAAGCGGAACUGAUGGUGGAGCGGUGAAAUGCGUUGAUAUCAUCAGGAACACCGGUGGCGAAAGCGGCUUACUGGGUCUCUUCUGACGCUGAGGAACGAAAGCUAGGGUAGCGAACGGG